CAGCAGCCGCGGUAAUACGUAGGGUGCGAGCGUUAAUCGGAUUUACUGGGCGUAAAGCGUGCGCAGGCGGCCCGUUAAGACAGGUGUGAAAUCCCUGGGCUCAACCUAGGAAUUGCGCUUGUGACUGGCGGGCUCGAGUACGGUAGAGGGGGGUGGAAUUCCUGGUGUAGCAGUGAAAUGCGUAGAGAUCAGGAGGAACACCGAUGGCGAAGGCAGCCCCCUGGGCCUGUACUGACGCUCAUACACGAAAGCGUGGGGAGCAAACAGGAUUAGAUACCCUGGUAGUCCACGCCCUAAACGAUGGGUACUAGCCGUUUGGUGCGCGAUAGCGCUGAGUGGCGAAGCUAACGCGUGAAGUACCCCGCCUGGGGAGUACGGCCGCAAGGUUGAAACUUAAAGGAAUUGGCGGG
rnacentral:rRNA from 1 species